GGGCCCGUAGCUCAGCUAGGCAGAGCGGCGGGCUUUUAACCGCUGGAGAGACCCGUAGGUCCCGGGUUCGAAUCCCGGCGGGCCCGCCA
rnacentral:tRNA from 1 species